rnacentral:miRNA from 6 species
UGCAGUUGUUGUCUCAAGCUU